rnacentral:rRNA from 1 species
UACGUAGGCAGCGAGCGUUGUUCGGAGUUACUGGGCGUAAAGAGUGCGUAGGCGGUUUUCUAAGUUUGGUGUGAAGUCUCCCGGCUUAACUGGGAGGGUGCGCCGAAGACUGGAAGGCUAGAGUAUGGGAGAGGUAAGCGGAAUUCCUGGUGUAGCGGUGAAAUGCGUAGAUAUCAGGAGGAACACCUGCGGUGUAGACGGCUUACUGGACCAUAACUGACGCUGAGGCACGAAAGCGUGGGUAGCAAACAGG